CUUUCUAUUGGAAAUAUUCCUGUAAUUCCCGUAUGACAAAUUGGCCACUAUUAUGGGAUGAGAUAAUCAUUCCUCAGCUGGAAUGUUUUCCUUAUUAUUUCUUUCCUUUUACCUUUGUUAUGUAUUUCCUUUUAGUACCAAAGUAUCAAUUAGUAUCAAGAGCUUAAGGCUCUCACUGUGUACAUUUAUAUUCAGGCAAUUCGGCCAUAAUAAAAAUCAUCAAGCUUUUACCGUCUCUUUAAUUUUAACAUGGUAUCAGAGCGGGUUUGAACUUAAACGAACCUUCGAAUUGCAUUUCCGGCGAGCAGCCUUGUGCCGCUCGCCCCGGCAAAAUAAAACCAGCCAAAAAAAUUUUCUGUGCAAGUUAUUUUCUGCUUCCUCUUCAUAAACGUAACUUUUGUGUCUUCCUUUGUAGCAAAAAUCCAUACAAAUUCAAACUUGCUCCCAUCCAGUUUUUUCAUCAAAUUUCCCACAAAUUUAUGUGUAAUCAUGAGAUCCAAAUCCCUCGUUAGAGGCCGAACUCUGGUGGUAAAAGGAGGCACCGUUUUCCCCACCAAAAUUUUUGUCACUGCUGGACAAAAUUUUUUGUUCAUAUUUUUCCGGAUAAGCCACAUACUGAGGUUUACAAAAAUAAGAUUCUGCUCCAGAUUGCAACACCACAUGCACACUGAAGUUAUAAAUCAGAGACUGCUCUUGUCGGAUCCAUCUGAACCAUACAAGGAAUUACAGAAAUUUCCUAUGGCAGAAAUCGUAUAAGACCUCGGGAACUUGAAGUAAGAUUUACUCAUCUUUCAAUCAUCCUUUCCAGCGUUCUGUGAGUGAUGGAAGCAAGGCCUGUUCUUGGUUGUAACAAUGGUUUAUAGGUUGUAACAAUGGUUUAUAAUUGUUGAGGUGUAUCUGCAGUCCGGCAUCUCUGUUGGUAGUGAGAUUCAUUGGCGCCGCUCAAUCUAGUUUGUUUUGAGGUGUGGUCGGUGGUGUAGAAUGGUGAAUGGUUGCUGUAGGGCUUCUAUGGUUGGAGCUUAACGGGUAUUUAAUUGGGCUUUGAUUUGUGAAUAAUUGGGCUCUUGUGUUGGUGAUUGUUUUAAUUGGGCCAAGAAAAUUUCCUCAUUAUUUGGGCUGCUUCAUUAAGAAUUUUGGAAGCCAUGCCGAAAUUGAGUCCAUUCUAUUUUUCAAAAUUGUUUUAAAAAAAAAUUUGUUUUUGGCGGGUCAGUAUCCUGAACUUUACCAGCUCCCCUCUGCUUCUUGAAAAAAUUAGAGGUUUUCUUUGAAAAACAAAAUUUUUGGAGGAUCUGUACCUUGCAUUUUAUCGAUUCCUCCUGUGCAUCUUGAACAAAUUAGAGGUUGUUUUUUUUUCAAAACAAAAAAUUUUUGGAGAGUCGGUACUCUGAAGUUUAGUGGCUCUCCCGUGCCCCUUAAACA
rnacentral:lncRNA from 1 species